rnacentral:tRNA from 1 species
AUUUAAGUAAUUUAUAGUUAAAAUAUUGAUUUGUGGUAUCAAAAAUGUAAAAUAAUUUACCUUAAAUU